AGAGUUUGAUCCUGGCUCAGAUUGAACGCUGGCGGCAGGCCUAACACAUGCAAGUCGAGCGGUAGAGAGAAGCUUGCUUCUCUUGAGAGCGGCGGACGGGUGAGUAAUGCCUAGGAAUCUGCCUGGUAGUGGGGGAUAACGUUCGGAAACGGACGCUAAUACCGCAUACGUCCUACGGGAGAAAGCAGGGGACCUUCGGGCCUUGCGCUAUCAGAUGAGCCUAGGUCGGAUUAGCUAGUUGGUGGGGUAAUGGCUCACCAAGGCGACGAUCCGUAACUGGUCUGAGAGGAUGAUCAGUCACACUGGAACUGAGACACGGUCCAGACUCCUACGGGAGGCAGCAGUGGGGAAUAUUGGACAAUGGGCGAAAGCCUGAUCCAGCCAUGCCGCGUGUGUGAAGAAGGUCUUCGGAUUGUAAAGCACUUUAAGUUGGGAGGAAGGGCAGUUACCUAAUACGUAAUUGUUUUGACGUUACCGACAGAAUAAGCACCGGCUAACUCUGUGCCAGCAGCCGCGGUAAUACAGAGGGUGCAAGCGUUAAUCGGAAUUACUGGGCGUAAAGCGCGCGUAGGUGGUUUGUUAAGUUGGAUGUGAAAUCCCCGGGCUCAACCUGGGAACUGCAUUCAAAACUGACUGACUAGAGUAUGGUAGAGGGUGGUGGAAUUUCCUGCGUAGCGGUGAAAUGCGUAGAUAUAGGAAGGAACACCAGUGGCGAACGCGACCACCUGGACUAAUACUGACACUGAGUGCGAAAGCGUGGGGGAGCAAACAGGAUUAGAUACCCUGGGUAGUCCAUGCCGUAAACGAUGGUCCAACUUAAGCCGUUGGAAGCCUUGAGCUUUUAGUGGCGCAGCUAACGCAUUAAGUUGACCGCCUGGGGAGUACGGCCGCAAGGUUAAAACUCAAAUGAAUUGACGG
rnacentral:rRNA from 1 species